GUGGGAGGUGUCCCUCUUCUCUGCUCUUACCUGCCCUUUCUCCAGCAACUCGCUCUCUUGUGUCACAGACUGUGGGGACAAGCAUGCUUGUGCGUUAAGGGCUUUCCUGAGGGGUUCUCCGGGAGGAAAUUGGGGAGUGGACCCGUGCAAAGAUCCGCUCCCGGCGAGGGGCCAGUGCCAGGGCAGUUUCACGGCUUGAGUGCCGCUGCACCCUCGUUUGACGUGGAAAUGAUGAGCUGGCGGCUUUAGAGCUCCAAACUUAUUUGGGAAGGUUAAAUGAGUUCUUAAAUAUUUAUUUAUUUAAUCUCCAGUUAAAGGAGGUUUGUUCUGCAAGAGUGAGGGGGCUGUCGUGUGCAGCACCUGUUUUUUUUUUUCUCACAGUGAGGAUUGCAAUCUUCAGCCACACAUAACGUCAGAGAUGCAGUGUAUUUCUUAAGUUAAAUGGCAGUGUCAUGGUUAGAAUUUAUCCCUGGUGAGCUUUAGCGUUUGAGUGAGGCCUUGGAUAGAGCAGGGUGUUAUUUCUUAUUCCCAUGUUUCGGUUAGUUUACAGUGGACUUAAUCCAGCUCAAGAGUGUGGACCUAGGCAAGCCAGAAUCUCCUGUAGAAACACCCCAAACCUCAAGGUAACGCAGACUAAAUUUCGACAAAAGUUUUCUCUCAGUUUACAGUUAAACUCAUCACAAGUAACUGAACUUUGGCUUGGUUCUCUUUAGAAACUGCAAGCAAGGUUUAAUUGCAGUUUUUUGCUCCCUUGUUAUUCUUGGGGAUAAGUGCAUAUUUAUUUUCUUGAUUAACUUUUGUUUUUAUGCAUAUUUCUUUUAAAGAAAGCAUCAUGUAGAAAACUUUUUAGGAGAGAGAUUUGCAGUAUUAUAGAGUUAUGCUGAAGUAGUGGAGUAAGUUGUAUUCUCUCUUGAAAGUAACUUAAAAUUAACCUGAAAUCCUAUGAUGUAUAAUAAAGCCUUGUACAUUGCUAGCCUUGUGAAAUAUACCAUAAAAUGCACAUAGUAAAUCUUCGUUUGAUUUAUACCUACUACAAUAGUAAGGAUAAGGUGGGAAUUCAAAGAUUUGAAAUUAUGAUUUUAUAGCUUAGUAUGUAAAAAUGCAGGGUGUUAGAAAUGAAUAGGAUUUAAGGAACAUAGAAGGGUGGUUUGGAGGCGUGAAUUUUCCUUUUCCUACUUUAUAAACUGAGAAUUCUACUUAAAUUGCUGAACAGCUGGAAUGAAAGUUGCAUAGAUAGCAGAAACAGAUGCAAAAAUGUGUUUUUGAUUAAGUAGUCAGUUAACAUGAAGAAUAUCUUGUGGUUUAUUAAGACAGUGAUUCAAAAUAAUUUAUAUAAAACAUAGCAUUAUAUAGAUUGUACUUUAGGAUGUUCUUAAAUUGAAAUAGACACUUAAAGUUGUUUUCCUUCAAGUCAGUUUUGAGAGAGAGAAUUGAAAAACAGUAACUUAGAUUACAUUCUGCAGUGUUUGGUUACAAGUUUUAACUAGUUAUUUUAAGGCACUGGAGUGUCUUUAAAAGUGGUGAAUUGUUAAAUCACUAGUGGCUUGGAAAAACUUGUGUUCCUUGUUUAUUUUUUUAAGUGCCCGUUAUAUCAGUAGGUUGGUCUGGAGGGGGAGCUAGUGCCAAAGCAAAGCAUGGCUUAAUAUAUGUUUGAACUUUUUCAAACACCCCAAACCAGAUUUUUAUGACCAGAAGAAAGAGAAAUUUAAUUUUUAGUUAAAGGAGUAAAGGAAUUGAUAAUGAAUAUAUAUCUUAUCUGUCAAUAGUUACUUGUGGAGUAUAUAUAUUGUAUAUUACAAAUUAGUUAGUUUUUUUCGUGAUCUGAAAAUAAAUGCAUAAGGUUUGUUAAAUUUCUCAUUUUAAACCUCUGAAAGUUGGUCCCCAAACUUAGGGUAUAUGAUGACAGAUUCUUAAACUUAUUACGCAUUGCAUCAGAAAGGAAGCAGUAUCUGUUAACCCUUUGUGCAUGUUGUAUCUUCUUAAGUUUUUUCUUUAUAAUAUCUAUAGUCCAAACAUUUCAAAAGAGCUUCAAGUAGAGUCUUAUAAGAGCAAAGAUAUCAAGCAUGUAGUAUUUAGCUAGGUAUUUAUCAAAAGUAAAGGUAAUUGCAAUAAAAAAAAAUGGGUCCUUUAAACAUCUGGAGAUCUGGAAAGCAGGAUCCCAAGGUCACUUCUUAACAUCUCUCUCCUGCAAUAUAAUGCAGUGAGUCCAUCUGAUCUGUGAAAUUGAACUUGUGCAUUUGAAUAUGAAGCAGUAAUUUUUUUGAUCUGUGGCACUUUAUUUAGGUUUCUGAACUGCAAUCAGUUUUGAUUUUACUUCUUACGGUUCACAUAUUCUUCCAAAUUCGAGGUUAGGAUUGAUUGUGUGUAUAUUAAAAUCAGAAUAUUUUAGUUUUCUGAGGGUAGUAGUUGGGC
ensembl:lncRNA